UUAUGGCCAUAUCACAUUGAAACACUAGUUCCUGUACGAUCACUGAAGUUAAGCAAUGUUGAGCCUGGUCAGUAUCUAGAUGGGUAACUGCUUGGUAAUACCAGGCAC